CUACACCAGCACCAACUACUACAGCUGAACCCACUACUACACCUGCACCAACUACUACAGCUGAUCCCACUGCUACACAAGCACAACCAACUACGGCAGCAUUAACUACUACACUAACACCAACUACUACAGCUGUACCCACUACUACACCAGCACUAACUACUACACCAGCACCAACUACUACAGUUGAACCCACUACUACACAGGCACCAACUACUACACCAGCACCAACUACUACACCAGCACCAACUACUACACCAGUACCAACCACUACAGCUGAAUCCACUACUACACCAGCACCA